AACCUAUUGUAGGAGAGCCACAAAAUACAAUUAUGAACCUGAAAAGGGGCAUAAUAUGACUCCUUUAAAGGGACACUUCACCCAUUUGCAUUAAGCUUUGUAUCAUUAGAACCCCAGUCAUAUUUUUGAAUGGUCGUGCAUCAUUCCCUCACUUCCCCUGAGAGGGGAGAAAUAUAACCGCCAUCUUGUUUGGAAGCUAAGCGGAGGCGCUGACGAGCCAGACGUUACGACUAUGGUAAUCAAUCUAAUAUGGAAGAAAUUUCGAAAGUAGUUGGUUGAAUCAGAUGUUCGUGGCUACCUUUAUGAGCCACAAUAUAGCGAAGAGCAGCUGAGGCUGAACAGGAGGCGGCUGAGGCUUCUGCAGCCGAGGCAGAGGACCUGCCCGUCGCGGACGAAGAGCCCGGACUGGCUCGAGCUGGGGCGGACUGCUGGUGCCUGUGCUCUCGCUGUGCGCCUACGGACACACGGACGUCUGACUGUAAAACAAUAUCGCUAACAGCCUUUCUGGAAUGGGUCCUGCAAGGCGAGAGAUUGGGUCGAGGCCAUCGUGUCGUUUUACCCGCUGAUGUGGUGCAGGCUAUCCGACAGAAAUAUCCAGCUCCAGAUGGCCAGUACUGCGGCACCGAGGAGUUGAGGACGCUCAGGAGGAACUAUAACUGUCAUUGUUAACAUAUUUAUUUUUGUUGUUGUUGAUAUAUUUCUAUACAUAAAUGGUUUACAUUCAUGUUGUUGUAGUCCUUGAUAGUGUUAGUGGGAGUGGCUUGUGGAGCUGUGCAUUGUGGGAGUUGUUGUCUUUAAUACAAAUGCGCCCUAAAGUCACUUUCUGUCUUUUCUCGGUCAAAUUGGCACCAAAUUCAAAAUGUAUGUUAAAUUUCAACUACAUAUAUAACCCACUUUCAAUAAAUAUUAAUGUUUCCACGGGUGAAAUGCUCCUUUAAAGCACUAGAACUAAAGCAACCUGUAAUGCAAAUGCUGGCCUGUGAGUAAUUGUUAUCUUACCUGUGAUGGAUUUGGGUUGGGUCUCUCAGCCCCUGGUCCUUGCAUGGUCUGGUGCUCUCCUAUAUUAACCACAUCGUCCUCAGCAGCUGAUCCAUUCUGAAGUUGGUACAAGUGUGUGGGAAGUUAGUCACUGAAUCUAGUGUUAUUUUGAUAUUGAGUGUGAUCUUAAAGCACUAGAAGUAAAGCAACCUGCUCCAACUAUUACACUCUGAAAUUUGAACAAUGUGUGUAGCUAGUUUGUUACGUUGUAGGAGUCAGUUCCUCUAAAUACGAAAUACCAAUAAACUAACAUAGUGAACAAAUGUG